GACGAACGCUGGCGGCGUGCCUAAUACAUGCAAGUCGAGCGGAAGUUGAAGAGCUUGCUCUUCAACUUUAGCGGCGGACGGGUGAGUAACACGUGGGCAACCUGCCCUGCAGAUCGGGAUAACUCCGGGAAACCGGUGCUAAUACCGAAUAGUUUUCGCCACCUCCUGGUGGCGUACGGAAAGACGGUUUCGGCUGUCACUGCAGGAUGGGCCCGCGGCGCAUUAGCUAGUUGGUGGGGUAACGGCCCACCAAGGCAACGAUGCGUAGCCGACCUGAGAGGGUGAUCGGCCACACUGGGACUGAGACACGGCCCAGACUCCUACGGGAGGCAGCAGUAGGGAAUCUUCCGCAAUGGACGAAAGUCUGACGGAGCAACGCCGCGUGAGUGACGAAGGUUUUCGGAUCGUAAAACUCUGUUGUGAGGGAAGAACAAGUACCACUUAACUACUGGUACCUUGACGGUACCUCACCAGAAAGCCACGGCUAACUACGUGCCAGCCGCCGCAGUAA
rnacentral:rRNA from 1 species